rnacentral:lncRNA from 1 species
AGGCAGGCAGCUGCUCUGCCUGAGACUGUCAGGAGUUGGUUGACACAAAUCCAUGUCUGAAGCCCAAGCUCUUGCUACUCUGCUGUGUCCCUGAUGGGUGCAUGAAGGCCCCAGCCCAGUCAGUGACACAGAGGUUGGGAAGGCCAGGGCAUGAAGCUUCUGUGCUUGGAGAACAGGAGGGCUUGUGAAGCUGUGGUUGAUGGCGUGUCCAGGAAGCCUGGCCAGGCUGGGGUCUGGCAACAGCCUCACCACGAUGGCAUGGCGGUUGGCCCGGCCUCUACCCGCUGCACCACAGCUCCUGGCUCCAGGUCAUCUCUGCCCACAGCCAGCGUCUCUGGUGAGCCUGGGCAGGUGGGAGGCCGAACCUGUGCCCCACUGAUUUGGAUGCUGAGCUCUGGGGUGACCUGCACCCUAUAGUCCUACAGUUCACACACUAUGGAUGCCUGAAGGGAUGGGUGUCCUGUUUCUGAAACCCACAGAGCAGCCUUGAUUGGGAGGUGUCCUGUGCCCAUCUCGUGCCUCCCGUCCUUGUCCUGCGUCCUGGUUCUGGUUCUGCCGCCUCCUCUGCACGCUGCUCACCAGCCUGCUAAGUGGAUGUGAAUAAACAAUCAUGCAGG